AGUGAACGCUGGCGGUAGGCCUAACACAUGCAAGUCGAACGGCAGCACAGUAAGAGCUUGCUCUUACGGGUGGCGAGUGGCGGACGGGUGAGGAAUACAUCGGAAUCUACUUUUUCGUGGGGGAUAACGUAGGGAAACUUACGCUAAUACCGCAUACGACCUACGGGUGAAAGCAGGGGAUCUUCGGACCUUGCGCGAUUGAUUGAGCCGAUGGCGGAUUAGCUAGUUGGCAGGGUAAGGGCCCACCAAGGCGACGAUCCGUAGCUGGUCUGAGAGGAUGAUCAGCCACACUGGAACUGAGACACGGUCCAGACUCCUACGGGAGGCAGCAGUGGGGAAUAUUGGACAAUGGGCGCAAGCCUGACCCAGCCAUACCGCGUGGGUGAAGAAGGCCUUCGGGUUGUAAAGCCCUUUUGCUGGGAAAGAAAAGCAGCAGGUUAAUACCCCGCUGUUCUGACGGUACCCAAAGAAUAAGCACCGGCUAACUUCGUG
rnacentral:rRNA from 1 species